UACAGAGGUCCCAAGCGUUUGUUCGGAUUCACUGGGCGUAAAGGGUGCGUAGGUGGCGGGGUAAGUUUGAUGUGAAAUCUCCGGGCUCAACCCGGAAAAUGCAUUGAAUACUACUCUGCUGGAGGUUUGGAGGGGGGACUGGAAUUCUUGGUGUAGCAGUGAAAUGCGUAGAUAUCAAGAGGAACACCAGUGGCGAAGGCGAGUCCCUGGACAACACCUGACACUGAGGCACGAAAGCUAGGGGAGCAAACAGG
rnacentral:rRNA from 1 species